UGUAAAGUGCCUGACUAAAGGGUAAUUUUGAUAGAAUUAACAAUGUAUAAUUAAUACCUUUACAA
rnacentral:tRNA from 1 species